CACGUCUCGGGACGACGCUAAACUCGCCCUGGUCGGGAUGGGUUUAACGACCCCUCGGGUUUCCUAGUUCCUAAAACUAGGUGGUGGAGUCAUAU
rnacentral:ncRNA from 1 species